rnacentral:misc_RNA from 1 species
GUACCCUCCAGCCUUGCUGGGUGCUGGGUGUUUGUUCCGCUGCACGCGUGAACUCGCCUUAAAUACAUUGGCAGCCAGCCGUCCCGCGUGGGAGCGCAGCACAAUUUGCGCUUUCCGCUGUAGUCGGCGGCGUCCAUAAGUCUACAAUUUUUAC